UACUCCACUUUCUCUGAAGAUCAGAUAAAUCUUUUACCUUUUACUGAAGAUUUUUGUGCAGAGGAAUGACUCUGCACCCCUAAAGCCAAUUUUUUGAGGCCUCGUUUCAGCAAGGCU